GACGAACGCUGGCGGCGUGCUUAACACAUGCAAGUCGAACGGAAAGGCCCUGCUUUUGUGGGGUGCUCGAGUGGCGAACGGGUGAGUAACACGUGAGUAACCUGCCCUUGACUUUGGGAUAACUUCAGGAAACUGGGGCUAAUACCGGAUAGGAGCUCCUGCUGCAUGGUGGGGGUGGGAAAGUUUCGGCGGUUGGGGAUGGACUCGCGGCUUAUCAGCUUGUUGGUGGGGUAGUGGCUUACCAAGGCUUUGACGGGUAGCCGGCCUGAGAGGGUGACCGGCCACAUUGGGACUAAGGUACGGCCCAGACUCCUACGGGAGGCAGCAGUGGGGAAUAUUGCACAAUGGGCGGAAGCCUGAUGCAGCCACGCCGCGUGCGGGAUGACGGCCUUCGGGUUGUAAACCGCUUUCGCCUGUGACGAAGCGUGAGUGACGGUAAUGGGUAAAGAAGCACCGGCUAACUACGUG
rnacentral:rRNA from 1 species